rnacentral:rRNA from 1 species
CAUCUCCUUAUGAUUUAAAAUAUAAGGUUUAAUCUGCCCAGUGAAAUUUUAAAUGGCUGCAGUAUUUUAACUGUACAAAGGUAGCGUGAUAAUUAGUUUUUUAAUUGAAAACUGGUAUGAAUGAUUGGACGAGAAAUAUACUGUUUCAAUAUAAUUUUUAUUGAAUUUUAUUUUUGAGUGAAAAAGCUUAAAUUUAGCUGAAGGACGAGAAGACCCUAUAGAAUUUAAUUUUUAUUUAAAUAUUUAUAUUUUAGUUAAUUAAUUUUAUUAUUUUAAAUAAAUAUUUAAUUGGGGUGAUGUUAGGAUUAAUUUAACUCCUUUUGAUUGGUCCAUUUAUUAAUGAAUAAUUGAUCUAUUUUUGAGUGAUUAAAAGAUUUAAUUACCUUAGGGAUAACAGCGUAAUUUUUUUUAGAGUUCUUAUUGAAUAAAGAGAUUGCGACCUCGAUGUUGGAUUAAAAUUUUAUAAUAGGUGCAGAAGCUUAUUAUUUCGAGUCUGUUCGACUUUUAAAGUUUUACAUGAUCUGAGU